rnacentral:rRNA from 1 species
GAUGAACGCUAGCUACAGGCUUAACACAUGCAAGUCGAGGGACCGGCGCACGGGUGAGUAACACGUAUCCAACCUGCCCUUUACUCGGGGAUAGCCUUUCGAAAGAAAGAUUAAUACCCGAUAUAAAGGAUGGGGAUGCGUUCCAUUAGGUUGUUGGUGAGGUAACGGCCCACCAAGCCUUCGAUGGAUAGGGGAUCUGAUAGGAAGGUCCCCCACAUUGGAAGUGAGACACGGUCCAAACUCCUACGGGAGGCAGCAGUGAGUAAUAUGGGUCAAAGGGCGUUAGCCUGAACCAGCCAAGUAGCGUGAAGGAUGAAGGCUUAUUGGUCGUAAACUUCUUUUAUAUAAGAAUAUGUAUGAUAUGAAUAAGGAUCGGCUAACUCCGUGCCAGCAGCCGCGGUAAUUC